rnacentral:rRNA from 1 species
UACGUAGGCGGAAUAUUAAGUCAGUGGUGAAAUCCUGCGGCUCAACCGUAGAACCGCCAUUGAUACUGAUAUUCUUGAAUGUAGUUGAGGUAGGCGGAAUGUGUAAUGUAGCGGUGAAAUGCUUAGAUAUUACACAGAACACCGAUUGCGAAGGCAGCUUACUAAACUAUGAUUGACGCUGAUGUACGAAAGCGUGGGGAGCGAACAGGAUUAGAUACCCUGGUAGUCC